GACGAACGCUGGCGGCGUGCCUGAUACAUGCAAGUCGAGCGGACGGAUGGGAGCUUGCUCCCAGACCGUCAGCGGCGGACGGGUGAGUAACACGUGGGCAACCUGCCUGUAAGACUGGGAUAACUCCGGGAAACCGGGGCUAAUACCGGAUAACUCUUUCCCUCACAUGAGGGAAAGCUGAAAGAUGGCAUCUCGCUAUCACUUACAGAUGGGCCCGCGGCGCAUUAGCUAGUUGGUGAGGUAACGGCUCACCAAGGCGACGAUGCGUAGCCGACCUGAGAGGGUGAUCGGCCACACUGGGACUGAGACACGGCCCAGACUCCUACGGGAGGCAGCAGUAGGGAAUCUUCCGCAAUGGACGAAAGUCUGACGGAGCAACGCCGCGUGAGUGAUGAAGGUUUUCGGAUCGUAAAACUCUGUUGUCAGGGAAGAACAAGUACCGGAGUAACUGCCGGUACCUUGACGGUACCUGACCAGAAAGCCACGGCUAACUACGUG
rnacentral:rRNA from 1 species